AUGAACGCUGGCGGCGUGCCUAACCCCUGCAAGUCGCACGGAGUCCAGCCUUUAAGACCUUCGGGUCAAAGAGGGGAAGACUGAGUGGCGGACGGGUGAGUAACACGUGGGCAACCUGGCUCAUAGAGGGGGAUAACAGAGAGAAAUUUCUGCUAAUACCGCAUAAGCACACACUGCCGCAUGGCAGAGGGUGAAAAGAGAAUCGCUAUGAGAUGGACCCGCGUCUGAUUAGCCAGUUGGCAGGGUAAGAGCCCACCAAAGCGACGAUCAGUAGCCGAUCUGAGAGGAUGAACGGCCACAUUGGGACUGAGACACGGCCCAAACUCCUACGGGAGGCAGCAGUGGGGGAUAUUGCACAAUGGGGGGAACCCUGAUGCAGCGACGCCGCGUGAGUGAAGAAGUAUUUCGGUAUGUAAAGCUCUAUCAGCAGGGAAGAUAAUGACAGUACCUGAAUAAGAAGCCCCGGCUAACUACGUG
rnacentral:rRNA from 1 species